AAUAAUCUCAUUUUUUUACUCUUAUAUAUAAACCCCAUACCAUAUUGUACAACUCAAUACCUACAUUCAAUUCCCCAUAUUUUAACGAUCAAAAACCAAAACAAAAUAAAAAACAUUAACACUUGAGAAUAAGGAAUUAAUACAAUGAGGGCAAUCUCUUUAUACUUAUCUUCUACCUUACUCCCCCAAACUCUUCCCCAUGAUUUAAAUAAUAGGUACUACUAUUUUUCAUUUUGAUAUUGCUUUUUUUUUUUUAAUUUUUUUUAACAUUCUUUUUGUGGGUUCCUCAAUUUGUAAUUUUUUUUUUAAUUUUUUUAAUUUUUUUUUUGAUUUUUGGGUAUUUUUAGGUGUGUUUUAGUGUCUUACUCAUCAGUGAUCAAGUCUCAGGCUUCGCCUACCGGACGACGUAGUUUAAGAACUAGCAAUAUUAGAGGUGCUCCCAAUUUGAGGUAACGUUUUUCACUUUGCAUUUGGUGUUUAAUUAGCAUAUUGGGACUUUUAUUGAAAAAAAAAUCUCAUUUUUUGAUAAUUACAUCGAUUCCCU
rnacentral:lncRNA from 1 species